UCUCAGACAAAUAUACUCCAGACUCAUGAUAAGUUAAGAUUUGGUAAUAUAGAAUUACUUUGUUUUCCUAAUAGUAAUAUUAGUUUUAAGACACUUUCUCAUAUUUCAGUAACAAAGGCAGAAAAAUGCAUUUUAGAUAAUUUAUGGAUUUCUUAUAAUAAGAAUCCAAAAGACCAAAAAUAUUUUUUAGCAUGCUUAAAUGCUCUUUCAGAACAUUUUAGUCAAGAUCAUAAUUGUAUAUAUAUAUAUAUAUAUAUAUAUAUAUAUAUGAAUAUAAUUUUUUCGCAAUUUUGGGGGGAUUACACACAUUGAAAGGAGGAGAACACAACUUAAGAAUUAGAUAGCAAAUUCAAGAGGAGAAAAACAAAAAUUAAUGGGCUUGAAAUCAAGAUAUGAAACAAGAAAAAGAACUUGGUGCAAGAUUCAGCUACUCCUCUACAUGUAAAUUCAAAAUCCGGUGAUGAACUCUACUAUUGUUAUUUGUUUUCUUCCUCUAUUAUGAAUAACUAAAAUUCUUGUUAGGGCAAUAAUGUAACCUACUUGGGACCCUUUACAUCUGUUAUUUAAUAUUUUUGUUCUUUAUUUGUUUAUGUGUUGGUAUUAUUAUGAGUGUAAUACAUUUAAUUACUUGAUCGCUAAUUUGAUGAUUUUGUGAAUCUUUUACGAAUCGAGAUGCGAGUUUAGGAUUUAGACCAUAUAGUAAAGUUCGAUAAAUUAGUAUAAUAUAUAGAGAUACCUAUACUGAUUAUUGCGGUCUUGAAUGAAUUCCUAGCAAAAAUAUUUCGUUUAACUAAACUUGAUUCGCAUCAAGAUAUGUAAUUGAAUUAAUUAAAUAGAUUCAAUGAGAACUCGAGAAGAGUAAAUUGAAUACAAUAGAAGAAUUCGAUCGAACACUACAUUAGAUUUGAAUCUGUAAAGGUGAUCAAUAGAUGAGUUUCUCUGCUCUGAUAUUUAUUCGUUAUUUAAUCUCUAAAUCAAUCUUUGUGUGCUUCCACAUAUUGUUAUGUAUUUAAAUUAAAACUCAAAGCAUACAAAUCCUUUUUUUUUUUUUUUUUUGAAUAAUAGUUAGAGAAGGUAGAUCGAGUUUUAAAGUAAAGUUC
rnacentral:lncRNA from 1 species